rnacentral:rRNA from 1 species
AACGUAGGUGGCGAGCGUUAUCCGGAUUCACUGGGCGUAAAGCGCCUGCAGGCGGUCCCGUAAGUGGGAUGUGAAAUCUCCCGGCUUAACUGGGAGGGGCCAUUCCAUACUGCGGGGCUUGAGGGCAGAAGAGGGAAGCGGAAUUCCCGGUGUAGUGGUGAAAUGCGUAGAUAUCGGGAGGAACACCAGUGGCGAAGGCGGCUUCCUGGCCUGCUCCUGACGCUAAGAGGCGAAAGCUAGGGGAGCGAACGGG